GGAAACGGCCUGGCGCGAGGAGAGGGUCCUGCGUCUGAUUAGCUAGUUGUGGGGUAACGGGCCUACCAAGGCACCGAUCAGUAGCCGGCCUGAGAGGGUGAUCGGCCACACUGGAACUGAGACACGGUCCAGACUCCUACGGGAGGCAGCAGUGGGGAAUUUUGCGCAAUGGACGUAAAGUCUGACGCAGCAACGCCGCGUGGGUGAUGAAGGUCUUCGGAUUGUAAAACCCUGUCGUCGGGGACGAAGGUAGGGGGGUUAAUAGCCCUUUUGCUUGACGGUACCCGGAGAGGAAGCCCCGGCUAACUCUGUG
rnacentral:rRNA from 1 species